rnacentral:rRNA from 1 species
UACGGGGGGGGCAAGCGUUGUUCGGAUUUACUGGGCGUAAAGGGCGCGUAGGCGGCCACCGCAAGUCGACUGUGAAAUCUCCGGGCUUAACUCGGAAAGGUCAGCCGAUACUGCGGGGCUAGAGUGCAGAAGGGGCAACUGGAAUUCUCGGUGUAGCGGUGAAAUGCGUAGAUAUCGAGAGGAACACCUGCGGCGAAGGCGGGUUGCUGGGCUGACACUGACGCUGAUUGUGCGAAAGCUAGAGGAGCGAACGGG